GAUUCGAUCUUUUCAAUGAUUAUGUUCAUUUCCUUUCAAAGUCGACUGGAUACCUUAAAUCCAAAGGUGAUGAAUAUUUUUUCAGAACAUUCCCAUGGUCUUUCAAUUUCAAUCCGAAGGAGGAGACAUCGAAGGCAGUUGUAUGGAUUUCUCUUCCAGGUUUACCACCAAAUUUAUUUGCUAAGAGGCCUUUAAUGUCAAUAGCUUCAGCUGUUGGAAAACCUCUUAAAUUUAUUUGCUAAGAGGCCAUUAAUGUCAAUAGCUUCAGCUAUUGGAAAACCUGUUGCUGUUGACAAGGCGACACAGGACAGAUCGAGACCUAGUACAGCAAGAGUAAAGGUUAUAGUAGAUCUUUUGGAUAAACACCCUAAAAAGAUCAUACUGCAU
rnacentral:lncRNA from 1 species